AGCGAACGCUGGCGGCAGGCUUAACACAUGCAAGUCGAGCGGACCUUUCGGGGUCAGCGGCGGACGGGUGAGUAACGCGUGGGAACGUGCCUUCCGGUUCGGAAUAACCCUGGGAAACAAGGGCUAAUACCGGAUACGCCCUUAUGGGGAAAGGUUUACUGCCGGAAGAUCGGCCCGCGUCUGAUUAGCUAGUUGGUGGGGUAACGGCCUACCAAGGCGACGAUCAGUAGCUGGUCUGAGAGGAUGAUCAGCCACACUGGGACUGAGACACGGCCCAGACUCCUACGGGAGGCAGCAGUGGGGAAUAUUGGACAAUGGGCGCAAGCCUGAUCCAGCCAUGCCGCGUGAGUGAUGAAGGCCUUAGGGUUGUAAAGCUCUUUUAUCCGGGACGAUAAUGACGGUACCGGAGGAAUAAGCCCCGGCUAACUUCGUG
rnacentral:rRNA from 1 species